UUCUCCCUCCAUAGGAAAGACAUUUCCCACUCCAUCUUGCUAGAAGCGCCUCUAUAGACUGGAUUAGCUUCCAGCACUGUCCAAAUGACUUUUUCUUUCCCGUGAUUGGUAACCCUAGAUAUGUUAUAGGUAGACUUUUAACAGUAUACCCUAAGAUAUUAUGCAAAGAUUGAUUUUCUGCACAUACUUUUGAGAAGGUGGAGGAGCUUUUGCUCGCAUUUACUUCCAAUCCCGAGAACAAUGAGAAUUUUUCAAGCACCGUUUUAAUUGCAUUAAGCGAUUUCGGAUUUGCCUUUGAAAAUAUGAGGAUAUCAUCCGCAUACAUGAGGUGAGAUAUAGAAGUAGCACCAUUCACCUGAUAAGUGUCUAUUUUUUUGUUCUUUACUCCAUUCUGGAUCAAUCUACUUAGAACAUCCAUAACCAUAUCAAAUAGAAUAGGAGAUAGAGGAUCACCCUGUCUAAUCCCCCUCUGGCUUUUGAAGGGGGGCGUUGGAGUCCCUUCCACCAGCACCGAAAAAGAUGUCGAGGAUAUGCAAUUCCAAAUCAUUUUGCAGAACAAAGGAGAAAAUCCAUACGCUUCAAGAGUGACAAUUAUAGCCUCCCAACUGACUGUGUCAAAAGCUUUCUUAAGAUCUAUACUCAAGCAACACCUCUUGAGAGUUCUCUUUCUUCCAAAGCCAUGCACCAUUUCAUCCGCUAGAAUGAUAUUAUCCGAGAUGAGCCUUCCUUGGAUAAAAGUUGUUUGGUUUGGAGAGAUGAGUUCACUAGAGACCUUACUGAUCCUAUCUGGCAAUAUUUUUGUCAUUAGCUUGUAGAUCAAAUUGACACACGAUAUCGGUCUGAUAGUUAAGACAGGUCUAGCAAAGCAAAUACAUGGAACUGGAUUAUAUAAGUUACAGCAAAAACUUAAGGAAGUUAAGGUACUUUCUAAGCAAUGGGCAGCAGAAAAAGCGCACUCGGCGAAAAGGGUAGCCCAGGCAAGGAUUGAUCUGAAUAGCUCAGAUGAAGCUUUGGAAAAGAAUCCCUUAUCUAUCCCGCUCCAAGAGGAGAGUACAAAAAUAAGGGGAAGAUUAAAGAAGCUUAUGGCAAAAGAGGAGGCAGAUCUGAAGCAAAGGAGUAAGGUCUCUUGGUUAAAAUUAGGGGACAAAAACAACAGAUUCUUUAGUAUGAAUCUAUGAAUGUGAUUUCUGUCAUUUUUCCUAAAGUAGUUUCUGAAGCAAUGAAUAGAUGGUUGCUUCAGGCUCCGUUAGAGGAAGAAGUAAGGUCCACACUGUUCACCUUUAAUUCUGGGAAAUCCCCUGGGCCGGAUGGUUUCACCUCAUAAUUCUUCAAAAAAAAUUGGGGAGUCUGAAAGGCCUAGUAAUGGAAUGUGUAAAGCAAUUCUUCAGAUAACCAUACUUUCAUCAUGUUUGUACCCAAAACAAACACGACCUCAGAUAUGUCUGAUUUCAGACCGAUCUCAUGCAAGGAUUUUCAGACGGUCAUGCGAUGACCAUGAUCAUAUGGACGCAUAGAAAGCCUAAAAUCAGAAAUAUAUAUAUGAUAUAUACCCUAAGUUUAUAAAUAAAUAGCCUAAGUUUAUAAAUAUAUACCCUAAGUUUAUAAAUAUAUAUAUAAUAUUCACUAAUAUUUAUAAUAAAUCGAGAAUAGAAGGAGGGAAAUCGGGAUUUCUAACCUGGAAAUCACGAGCUAGGGUUUGCAGAAGGACAAGAAGAAAAACAAGAAAAACGCUGGAAGAAGAACAAGGAGGCGGAGUUAGGGUAUGCAGACGUGCGAAUGCAGAUCUGCGAGCGUCCUUGAGUUUUUUUGGGGUAAAUGAGUGCAAAUCUGCGAACGUCUGCAGAAUAAGGUGUUUUUUUAGGUAAAUGGGUUAGGCGUCUGAUUUCAGACCGAUUUCAUGUGUCAAUUUGAUCUACAAGCUAAUGACAAAAAUAUUGGCAGAUAUGAUCAGUAAGAUUUCAAGUGAACUCAUCUCUUCAAAUCAAACAGCUUUUACUCAAGGUAGGCUCAUCUCGGAUAAUACCAUUCUAGCGGAUGAGAUGGUUCAUGGCUUUGGUAGAAAGAGAACUCCCAAAAGGUGUUGCUUGAGUAUAAAUCUUAAAAAAGCUUUUGACACCGUCAGUUGAGAGGCUAUAAUUGCCACACUUGAAACGUAUGGAUUUUCACCUAUAUUAUGCAAAUUGAUUUGAAAUUGCAUAUCCUCUACGUCAUUUUCAGUACUGGUGGAAGGGACUCCAACACCUACCUUCAAAAGCCAAAGGAGGAUUAGGCAAGGUGAUUCUCUAUCUCCUAUUCUAUUUGACAUGGUUAUGGAUGUUCUAGAUAGAUUGAUACAAAGUGAAGUAAAGAACAAAAGGAUAAACACUUAUAAGGUGAAUGGUGCUACUUCUAUACAUAGUUCAAAAAGCGGAAAAGCGGUCAGCUUUUCCAUUGACCGCUUUUUCAGCUUUGAGCGCUUUAGCGCGCUUAAAGCUGAAAAAGCGGUAGUGGCAUUAUUGUAAAUAAUGCUAAUUUUUUAAAAAAUAUAUAUAAACCUGUAAUUAUUCAAGACAUCAUCCAAAUUAUUUGAAAAACAUUUACAAGUCAUAUAACCUAAUCAUCUAGACGUGCACCAAUAUCUAUAUUAUCUCUUAAAAUUUCUUCCAUUUCAUUCAUGCAAUGAUGAAAUUGGGAUUCAGUUCCCAUAUCUCUAGGGUUUUGGAAGAAAUAGAAGUGAGAGUGAUAAAGGAAAUUAGGGUUUUAUUAGAAGGGUAUUGGGUUUAUAUAGUUAGAUAGAAAUUGGAGGGGUAGGAAGGGAAAUUAAAAUAGUUUAAGUUAUUUCACAUGGGUAAUGGGUUGCCCCAACCCAAUAACCCAACCCGACCCGAUUACCCGUCCAGAAAAAGCGUUUUAGAAAGCGGUCCUGGAGGACCGCUUUAAGCUAAAAAAGCGACGCUUAAAGCGUCGCUUUUUGAACUGUGCUUCUAUAUCUCACCUCAUGUAUGUGGAUGAUGUACUCAUCUUCUUAAAGGCAAACCCGAAAUCGUUCAAGGGAGGCUCAUCUCGAAUAAUACCAUUCUAGCGGAUGAGAUGGUGCAUGGCUUUGGAAGAAAAAGAACUCCCAAGAGUUGUUGCUUGAGUAUAGAUCUUAAAAAAGCUUUUCACACAGUCAAUUGGAAAGCUAUAAUUGUCACCCCUGAAGCGUAUAGAAUUUCUACUAUAUUCUGCAAAAUGAUUUGAGAUUGCAUAUCCUUUGCAUCUUUUUCGAUGCUGGUGGGACUCCAACGCCUCCCUUCAAAAGCCAAAGGGGGAUUAGACAGGGUGAUACACAAUCUCCUAUUCUAUUUGACAUGGUUAUGGAUGUUCUAAGUAGAUUGAUACAGAGUGGAGUAAAGAACAAAAGAAUAGACACUUAUCAGGUGAACGGUGCUACUUCUAUAUCUCACUUCAUAUAUGUGGAUGAUAUCCUCGUAUUUUCAAAGGCAUAUCCGAAAUCACUUUAUACAAUUAAGGCGAUGCUUGAGAAAUUCUCAUUGUUCUCGAGAUUAGAAGUAAAUGCGAGCAAAAGCUCCUCCACCUUCUCGAAAAUAUGUGCAAAAGAUCAAUCUUUAUAUGACAUCUUAAGAUAUACUGUUAAAAAUUUACCCAUAUCAUAUCUAGGAUUACCAAUCACGAGAAAGAAAAAGUCAUUUGGACAAUGCUAAAAACUAAUCCAGUCAAUAGAGGCGCUCUUAGCAAGAUGGAGUGGAAAAUGUCUUUCCUAUGGAGGGAGAAUACAACUAGUUAACUGGAUAAUAGCUGGAAAGUAUAUUUAUUGGGCGCAAGGUAUGGCUAUCCCUGAUUCUGUGGCUAAGAAGGUGAGAAGGUUAGCCUAUAGAUUUAUAUGGGACGGAAAGAAAGGGAUCCCGUGGAGUUAGACACCUUCCUAUUAUCACCACUGCAACCAAUAUUAAAAGAGUUUCAAAGUACUACGAUAGGAGUGACUCUAUUCUGGUAAAAUGGAUCCAAGAUAGGUACAUUAAAGGAAAAGCGCUUAAUGAUAUACAAAUCAGGCCUACUGUGGAUUCGCAUUUCUAGAAAGCUUUUAUUUCGAAAAGGAAUCUAGUGGAUAAAUGUUUAGAUUGUAGGUCCAAUAGUACGAUUGUGUGGAGAUCUGGUACUCCGAUAAGCAAGUUGGGGAAAUGGUGGAAUGUAUUAGAGAUUGAAAGCAUAAAGACAUGUUAGCUGAGGGAAUUUGGUCAAAGAUGCUGACAAAAUUCUCUAGACCGUAAAAAAAAGGUCAAAAAAAAUUAAAAUCUUAGAAACUGAACACCCAGAGCCAUCGACUAGGAGUAGUCAAUCUAGACGAUUUACUAGUCGUGUUUGUGAUGAGGACCAUGAGGUUGAAGAACUUGAAGAGAAUGAAGAUGAGGGUGAAGCAUCAGAACCUGAACCCCAACCUCGACCACAAGGCAUACAUCUUUUGUAUUUGAAGUAUAAACGGACAAAGAGGACACACAAUGACCCAUAAAUCGUAUUUUAUAUUUAAAGUUUGAACUAUUUUAUGUGUUUUGAACUACUCAAGCUUUUGCAUAUAGUCGCAUAUGCGCACAUAUGCGACCAGGUGCAUUUCCCCCAUCGCAUAUUUGGGGGGUCAUCUAUUUUUGGGUCUUAGGAUCCGGAUUGGAUCCGGCUAAGCCCGACCCAUAUGCCCAAUUAACAUUUAAAAAAUAAAAGUUUUAUAAUAAAAAUUAUUAUACUUUAAAAACUUAAGGACCUUAAAAAAACCCACUUAAAUAACAAUAUUAAAAAUAUAACAUUUCUAAACCCUAACUCAAAUAACCAAACCGUUGCCUUCCUCCCCCACACCUCCCCAAUCAAGAUCUUCCUCCUCUCCUCUCAUCUUGUCGGAUUUCCUGUCACCUCGCCAGAUGUUUUAAUUCAGUCGUCGGACAUCUCCGUUGACCUCGCUAAAACAUCCAGAUCUCCAUUCAAAAAAAACAUCGCAUAUUAAGUCGCAUAGGCGACCAGGCGCUCGCAUAUGCACACCCAGGCAUCGUCUGGUCGCCUGGCCGCCUGAAAAAGCUUGGAACUUCUUAAAGUAUUUUGAUAUAUUUUAGGUAUAUAAAAAAUAUAUGAAUUUUCCUUUGUUAUAUAUUUACGAAAAUGUCACUGGCACAAAAGCUCAAGUGCUCUAGGUGGUGGCGCAUCCUGAACCUUGGAUUUCACCACGAACUAAGAGGGGGUGGACUCAAUUUUUGUAAGUUGUAACAGUGGAAAGAUUCUCUAAAAUAUCUCAUUUUUUACCUUGUAUUUAUACCAACAAUGUUUUAAGAUUUUUAUAACGGAUCGUUUUAUUUAAUCUAAUACAUAAAAAAGAUUGUUAACAAACAUCCAAAAUUCCAAAUCACCAUUCGAGAUGCAGUAUAUAUAUAAAAAAAAUCAUAUACCUGAGGCUCACAGGCUACAAUAUAUUGGCAUCGUAAACCUUUAUCUUUAACCAUUGCAUCACCAAGAAAAUCAGCAAGCCUUCUUGCAGUUGUCACGGCACAUGACUUUUGCUGCCCAUAGUCAACCAAUGAUUUGCUCAUUGUGCUUGAUUCUGAUAUGUAAUCAAGCAAUUCACUGUCCACAAUGUCUAUUCCUUCAUUCUAAAUAAAAUACAAGUUUAGCAUGCAAUCAAACAAGAUUUUAGUUGUAACAAGUGUAGGUAAUUCACCCCACAUCUAAAAGAUCCAACCAGCGAUUUGCAACUGAGGCAACUGCUGAGUAGCAUUGCUCUAAGGUGCUCCCAAGAAGAAAUUUAUCAAAAACUUCAGCCUAUCAAAAUAGAUACAUUGGACUAUGCAUCAAAGAAUGUAAAAAAAAUGUUAAAAUGUCAUUACAAACUACAAAUAAAAAAAAUGCACCUGAAAUACUUUAAUGAGCUUCAGUUCACCUCUCCGCUUGAUCUCAAAACCUUUGAGUUCAGCUAAGGUUCCAUCUUCGUUAAAAACUGCAUAACGUUUCUUAAUCAAAAUUCCUUCUUCCUUUGAGGCAGGGAGAAUCAUUGCCUAUCAAAACAAAAAAUUAUGCACAGAAUAGUUAAAAAUGAAGACGGACUGAAAUUGUUUCUAAAAAACUACCUUGUAUGGUCCGUCUACUUCAAAUUCAAUUGAGCACUCACUGUGUGUUAUAUAUGUCUUAGCAAGAGGAUCUUUAAGUAUCUGUACAUUGGAAAAUAAUUAAAAUAUUAAAUAUGUAUUUCUAUUGAGAAACAAAUAAAAAUUUAAAUGUCUAAAUAAAUAAAUAUAUUGCAUGAAAAACCUGAUACUGAUCAUUUGUGUUGUUUAUCGCCACAUCAACAUUUAGCAUAACACAGGGAUAAGAGAUUGUAAGCUUUCGUUUUAAAUCCCUGAAAACCAAUAGCAAGGUAAUUUAAAAUUUGUUAAAUUUUCAUCGUUAAUUAGCAAUAUCAGAAUAAAUCAUGUUAAAACCUAAUUAAAAAGUUUGACUGCAUGAUUCUAUAAUAGAAUUAUCUUACUUAGUUUGGAAUGUAAAAUUUUCAGGAAAAGACCCAGGAAGUGCACACCAAAUCCCAUCUGUAUCUAAUUCAAGUGGUCUUCCAAUCUUCUCAAUGAGCAAACGUGCAUUCUGAAUUAUUUUUGCACCAGUGUAAGUAACAACUCCAGCCAUUUCCAUGGAAUACCAUCUUGCUCCCCUACAAAAAGAAAAUAAAAAAUAUAACCUGAUUUUAACUAAAAAAACAUAAAGCAUAAUGAUGAUAUUCUGCUGAAACUCACUUCCGCAUGACAUAUCCAUAGAAAGAGUUGAGAAUACAUUUAUGAGCAAGUUGUAAAGAGUCGUACAAAACAACCAUAUCCUGCAAAGGGCACAAUUACGACCAAAGAAUCAUCAACCAAUUAAAUUGACUAAUUUGCUUCAAAAAAAAAAUUGACUAAUUAAAGAGAUGGUAUAUGGUAUACCUGAGCCUCUUGGAUCCUGAUAGAAUUUCCACUAGAUUUUGCAUCUGUAACUUUUCCUUUCCACAUCUUAUUGAGACCCUUGUACUCAUAUCGUCUGUCCCGGAAACUGAAAGAAAAAAUUUACAUAAAUAGAACGAAAUGCCUCUCUUUUUUUCUUUUUCUUUUUUUUGAAGCAAUUAAAUUUUUUAUUUAAAAAUAAGGGCAAUGCCCAAUUUACAAAGAAAAAGAGUAGAAAUAAAACAAAAGUGCAAGAAAUGAACAAAAGCCCAUUGACACUCUCCCAUUAGCUAUGUAGUCUAGUUAUCGAAAUGCCUCUCUUAAUUAAAUCGGGAGUAGCAAUGCCCAAUAGUUCUCCAUAAAUCGAAUGUCCAAGGGUACACACACUAUAAUGUUGACUACUCUUCUCAAAAACAUGCCCAGCUGAAUGUUGCUGAUCACAGGCCAUUGGGGGAUAAUAUCUUAAGAUUUCUGACAAUGAAGGGAGAGUAAAAGAGUACGUCACAUGCUCUGUCAUAACAUCUAAGAUACUCCUCUGCUUCUUUGAAAACUACCGAGAAGGUUGCCCGUCAAAAUUUUGUGAUUUGAAACAUUAAUCUCACAUUCAAUUAUUUUUCAGUAGGCAAGCUAAGGUUCUAAUCGAUGGUACAUCUACAAUGAUUCUAAGAGAGAGACUGGGUAAUUCUCCAUAAAUUGGUGGCUCAUUCUCAUCUCUACAGAUUGUUCCUCCAUGUUGUUGCUUCUGGACAAACUCCAAUCCUCUGAGGUCCCCCGGAUCAUGGGUAGUAGUCCUUCACUUCUCCAUAAUUCUGAUCAGUGGGGAUUCCUUUGAAUAGUGGUUGUUUGUCGUAGUUCUCUUUGUUGUUUCGAUAUAGCAAGUAUCUCCCACUAUCUAUUAUAUCGUCCAUUUGUCCCAGCUCUACUGUUCACAACUUCAUCUCUGAAUUUCUAUUGUCCCAUUGGAGCCUUGUUCUAUAUUAUUUUCCUUGAGAGAUCUUCAAUCCUCCUAAAGUGAUUCCAAAUCUCAGCGGCCUUCUCCAUACUUUUGGGUGUAGAAUGACCUAAGAUAGAUCUUCCACUUAAUAAUGUGUUUAAAGAGAAUAGAAUUAGAAGUUGGAAUCCACCAGAGAGGGAUAGAAAUCUGGAUUCCACCAGAUCAGGAAGGAAGGAAGAACAAGAAAAUGAUCGGGAAAAGUAAAGUAGAAAAAGAAGGUUAGUAAUUACCUCAAUAAAGUAGCAAAAUGUAAUAAUCCCAUGUCCCCCUUUAUUUAUACUUCAUCUCAAUAGACUAUCUUUGAGAUGAACCUUGGAAUUAUUUAAGAGUAAUUGUGCUCCUAUACUUAGAAGUUAGAACAGAUUAAGAGGAUUCAUAUAACAAUGAAUUCCUACCCACCCAAGAUGAUGUAGCAGAUAUAAUUCAAGAUGUCUCUAAUUGUGCUCUAGCUUAUGCUGAGAGCAAGACCAUCUCAAGGGAGUUCCCCACCUAUUGAGAUGGUAUAAACAACAAAGGAAUAAUGGGGAGCAAAUUAGUUGACAUUUUACUUUUCUAAAGGUACUUUCCUCUUGCUUUUCUCUAUCUUCCCGAUUGCUAUUUUUCUUCUUCUCCUUAUGAUCAAGGUAGAAUCCAGUUCCCUCGAUUUUAUUGACAUUGCACUCAUAAGUAGCAGAUCUUUUAGAAUAUGCUUCAAGGUGGGAUCAAUUGAUAACUUCCUUCGUAUUUCUUACUAUCAAAUUAUUAAUUGAAAUUAAAUUAGUUCCAAAAAUGGAAUUGGAUUAUAAUUUGUAAAAACCUAGUAAGCUUACAUAAAUAAAUAAAAGUCCAAGCUACCAACCUCCGUACAGUGUCUACAUAAAAAGAAUUCUCUCGCAUGCAUAUACCAGCUUGUCGAACUUCAGUAAUAGGCUUGUCAAGUACCCUUCUAUAUGCCUGUGAUAUAGAAGAAGAAAAUCAAAAAUCUAUUAUUCAAAAAAAUAAUAAAAAAAUAAUGUAUACCUUUUGAUUGUAUUUCUUUAAACGUUCUUUUAGCUUUAAAUGUUGUUCUUUUUUUGAGAGGUCAAGGAAAUUUUUUGAUGAUAAACCAUCUUUGUAAAUUUCAGAUUCAAUUUGCCUUUUCAGGUGAUAAUAAUCACUGCACAAGAUAGGCACAGUCAUUGAUAUAUGACACUUUUUCACUCCAGUAAGGUAAUAAUAAAAUAACGUAAUCAGAAUAGAUAACGAUAAUUUAUAUAACCUCUUUUUUGCCAUAGAAAUUUCCCCUCGCCAAACCCAAUCAAGAGUCCUUAAACAAUUCUUCCCUGGACGAUUAAAGUCGCAGGCAGUACAAAUCUCAUCAGAAACUAUUGCUGAAGGCUGCGUAUUAUUAUUAUAAAUUAUAAGAGCCUUAUAUAUUUAUUUAUUUGAAGCAAUUAAAAAAAUUUUGAAGCCUUAUAUAUAUACAAUGAAGGAACAUGUACAAUGAUAGAACUCCAAAAGAAAAGAAAAAAUCGCUAGGCUUUUUGCUAACAUAAUUUUUUUCAUUAAAUUAAUGAAGCCCUGAAAAAAAAAUAUGGAAGAGAAAAAUAAAAGAAAAUGUAGAAGAUAGAUCGAGACCCAUCGACUUCGUCCUACAUGGCUAUUACACUUAGAAGGUUCAACUUCGUUCUACCUCGGAAGGUUAAACUUCCAAACCUGCAUUGUUGUCUUCUCCAAUUGCAAACUGCAAACCUUCUUAAAGAUGUAAGAACAAAAAAACAGGCUAGAGUCCUUGAUUAUUCCAAAGAGGAGAGUACAGUGGGACUUAGUGUAUCAAUGUAUGUUGUCUUGAUCUCUUGAUUAUUUACAUGCGACCAGGCAUUCAUGCGAUGGACCUGGCCGCAUGAACACCUGAGACGCCUAGGCGUCGCCUGAGGAUCGCCGGAGCAGCCUGGUCGGCGUUCGCCUGAGCUGACCAGAUCUCGCCGGAGUCACGUUCGAGAUUCGCCGGAGAUAGCCGGAGGUGCUCGCUGUUAGUCCUAGCCAGUCGCUGGAGGUAGAGGUGGCCGGAGGUGGAGGAAAUGGGCUGAAAAGGAGGUGGGAGGGUGACUGAAAAUUUGGGAGAAAAAAGAGGAAAUAAGAAGAAAUUGGGAGAAAAAUAAGGGGUUAGGGUUUUAAAACCCUAUUUCUUCAUUUUUAAGUUAAAUAAAUGGGUAAGUGGGUUAGGCGCAAUCACCUACAUGCGUUGAACCGCAUGGUCGCCUCACCUAGUCGACCGCAUAAAAAAGCUUGGCCAAAACUAUACUCACUAAACACUAUUAGUAUGAAAAAAUGUGUACAUUGUGAACAAAAAGUAAACUGACGAAAUAAAAAAUGAUCAAAUCAAUUAGCUUAAGAGCUUUCCCACAUAAUUGGUUUCGGAGGAGAGGAAGAAAAUGUAUCCAUAAAAUAUUUAAGCAUCACAUUUUGAAAAAUGAGGUAAUGAGACAUUCUAAAAAUUUCUUGGAGAAAGCACUUUUUGUAACAAAAUAAUGAAUAAAACAACAUAAUUGAUGCAGAGCAUCAUAUUAAUUAUUCUCACGGGCAGAUUUUUAAAGAGAAACAGAGUUAGAUCCAUGAAUGGCUCGAGCCACCAUACUCGGCCUUUGAGUCCAAUAGACCCACAAUGUAGAAUUGUACACUUUCUACAUUAUGAGUAUAAAUACUCAGUGGGCCAAAAGGGAAAGCACGUUUUGAACAUUUUAUUCCCGAUUGAGGUAUUGCUACACUCUUAUUUUCUUCUUCCUGUUUUUCAUCUCGAUUCUACUUUCUUCUUCUGUCAAUCUUUCGGUGAGGAUUUGAUCAACCCGAUCAAUCUAUUCUUCCCAUUGGAGGAUUCCAAUCAGGAAGAACUCCUCUAUUUGUGACUAAAUCUCUUCUAGUUGUUGGCCUUUCCUCUACAUUAAUAAUGAACAUGCCUACAAUGAAGAAUAGGAUGCAAAUUUAUUAAGAUCAUACCUGGAGUCUGUUUGUCAAUAUAAUGUUUGGAUACAUUGCAGCAACAUCUAAAUGAUAUAUAAGAGGGCACUCCUCACAAAUUGGAUGAUCUCGCAAUGAUAUAAGCUGCACAAUUAAAUGCAAAAAUUUCAUCAACAUAUCAUAAUGGAUAUAACUAAGUGCACAUAUGAAUAAAGAAUAGGACAUGCAAUUACACCAAUUAAUCAUAAACAAUAAAAUAUUAUCGAGGCAUUGUCUUUCAUUUUUAUAAUGAAAAUUAAUUAAUUUUUUUGAUGAAGUUAAAGUCCAUUUUUAUAAUAAAAAUUGCAAAUUAUAUCCUUAUUUAGGAGGUAACCUGAUAACCUCGACCAGUAAACUUUUGCUAACACUUUGAUGGCAUUAAUAUUUUAAAAGAAAAUAACAAAGACAACGAAAUGGAGAAAGAAACCUUUUCCAUAAUUGCUUGCUUCACAUCUUCGUAAUUAGAAACUGAGUCAAGAUCCAUCUUGCCCUCUACCUUUAUUGCAUAUUGUAGAUCUCGAUCCAAACUAUUGAUCAAUUGCUGGAGAGAAAAUGAAUUAAAAUGAUUAGUCUUAAAAGUUCAAAUUAAGUAUGUUUAAAUUCUUUCUUCCAGAAUGUUCUUCUGCUAAUUACCUUGUUAUUUACGAUUUUAAGAAUCAGAUCUUUAUAUAAUGGAUGGGUGAGGACCGAUAAACCUCACGCCAAUGGACAAUUACUUGUGUUAUAAAUCCACUUACAAAAUCAAAACCUCUAACCAAUAAAAACUAGAUUAAUGGUAAAAGGAUGAUACGGUAAAAAAAAAAUUAAGGAAAUAGAGACUAAACAAAAUAAACUAUAUCAUCACUCUCAUGAGCUAGUUCUUUUUGCACAGAAUAUCUAGGUUUAAAAUUUACUUUAUAAAACUAAGAUCAUAAGCUCAUACCACUUGAAAGAUAAAUAAUAUGUAUUUAAUUUUUUUUCAAUGCUUUUUAUGAGGAUUACAUUUCAAUAAUAAAAUGAAGUGAGCCGUCCUCUGGUAUAGAUGAGAAAUGAGAAAGCUCGUCAUCCUAUCUUUACAUGAAUCAGCCUGCAACAUUAAGUAGCUUCCGCAAGAUACCUCAAGGAAUUACUGUUGAAAACUUAAAAAGAUCUGAAUAAUAUGUGUAAUUCAGCUUUGUACAGCCUUAUAGGCGACAAAUGAAAGCUCUACUUUGUACCAUUAAACAUUGUACACCAAAUUUCCAACCAUCAUUCAACUUUAAAACAUUAAUCUGGUAAUUUCUUGAGAUAUUAGGGAAGGUUUUUACAUCAUACUAAUAAAUUAUAAUUAUAAUUAUAAUAUUAUGCUUCAAUUUGUGUUGUAUAAAUUUAUUACAGUCACGCAAGAAGAUUAGCUCUAGUCACAAUAACUAUUAAGGUUUUUAAGGGUUCAAGAUUUGAGUCUUGCUGUGUACGUAUUUUUAUUAAAUUUUCACUACGAUGUAACCAGUGAUAUAUUAUGUAGCUCUGGUAUAUCACUCGGAGGUAGGCUUUUCUACAUCUUGUAUAAAGGUACCCUUUGUUAUCGAAAAAAAGAAAUUACAUUGUUCAAUAUUUCAAAUUUUAUUUUAUUUUGAUGAAUUAAAACUCUAUUUUUAUAAUUACUAUCAUAUACUUAAUGUACUUCAGUAUUUGUAUAGUACUAUAUAUGUCAUAGCCCAUAAUAAAUUUUUCAUUUAUAUAAUACUUCACAUGUAUAUGUAGGGAUGUAACUGGAUCCGGGGUUGGGUCUAGAAUUAGACAUUAUUAGUAGUCUGAACCAGUAAGGACCCGGAGCAGGGGUGAGAACGGAUCAGGGUCGCCCCGGUGAGAAGGGGGCUGGGGCAAAGAUUUUUCAAAAAAUACUUUUUUCGCCUGGUUGCCCCGUUGUUUUUUCGGGGAAAGUUAAAUCGUCAAAAUCCUUUUGAUUUUGCCCCGACCCCUUCAUAUUUUCCAAGGCAGGUCUCAGAAUAAGCCUGCUACAUUCACAUCAUGUCCCGGAUUUAUUCCGGCUAUGACCAGCCCCGUUCUCACCCCUAACCCGAGGUAUAUUAAAAUGUAUAUUAAUAAAAUUAAAAAAUUCAUAUAUACAUAAAUUAUAUUACAUUAGUAUUUAAAUUUAAUGGGCCUAAUGAUGUAGACCAUUGCAAUGAUCUACAAGGUCAUUGGCUCAAGUUGGCUCGAGCCAUGGCUCACUCCCUUUAAUUGGAUUGACCAACUCCCAAUGUGGAAUUUCCACUCUUAGACAUUAAGAGUAUAAAUAGGAGUGGACUCAAAAAAGGAGGUAGAUUACAAUUUUCCCAAGGUGAAUACCCAAUAUUUUCUCUCUCCUACUUUUUUCAGAUCUUGCAAUCCUUUCUCAUUUACUAAUCGGAUCAGGUGAACUCCUACCUGAUUUUCUAUUCCCUACUAGUGGAUUCUAGUAAAACUUAUUGGUGGAUUCCAAUAAACUAUCUCUUCUUCAAUCUGAAGUGCUGGAAUUUUCAGAUUGCUCUCCAAGCACGAUUCUGAGGUAUUUUUAAUUUUCAUUGAUUGUUUACUGCAUUGCCUAAACUUAAGCCCUUCGCCCUAUACGAUUUUAAGUUUUUAACAGAUAAAUAUAACUUGAAAAAGUAAAUCCUAAUCUUUACAAACUAAAUUAGCUUAAGAAGAGUAUAAUUAUUUUGAUCAUGAUGAAGAUAUUUUAUUACUUAUUAAUAUUUAUAAUUUUUUUUUUUUUUUUUUUUUUGAAACAAUUAAAUUUCAUUAGAAUAAGGCUAAUGCCAAGUUUACAAAAUAGAGAAUAGGAAUAAAAUAGAAGUAAAAAAGAAAUGAGCAAAAUGCUCAUUGACUCUCUCCCAUUAGCUAUGUAGUCUAGUUAUACAGUAACUAGAUACGCUGCCUCAGAAGGUUGGUCUCCCAUACUUCCAUCAUAGAUAUCUCCAAAGGGUGACAACAGCUCUUCUUGUAAUACACUGAAUCAAAGGAGAGACUGAUGUCUUUAAUGACCUCCUUAAGGACUACCUCAGGAAGUCUACUAAUGUGCUGCCUAUACCUUUUAUUUCUUUCCGUCCAUAUAUGCCACGACAAGCACCCAAUAGCAUUCCAUAUUAACCCCCAAGGGGGGGACUGGCGCGUAAUCAUUUGUGUUGCCUUCGUUAAAUCCCCUAAUCUAAUAUCUGGACUGGAUUGAGUAGGGACCGGAAUGUUCAUUAUUUUCCAAAAAGCGGAAUCCAGGUGUUCCGCCAACGGAAUUAAUAGAGAUCUAGAAUAAAAACAGUUAAAGAAAAGAUGACUCCUAGUUUCAUCUUCCAGAUUACACAAUAAGCAAGCAGGAGGUACUUGUACUCUCCAAUUUCUUAAUUUCCUGAACGUGUUUAGAUGAUCCCAUUUCACCCUCCACAAGAGAAUAAAGAAUUUUGUCGACAUCUUCGACCAAAUUCCCUCAGCUAACAUGUCUUUAUGCUUUCUAUCUCUAAUACUUUCCACUAUUCCCCCCAAUUUAUUUAUCGGACUACCAGAUCUCUACAUAAUCGUACUAUUCGCUCUACAAUCCAAACAUUUAUCCACUAGGUUUCUUUCUGAAACAAAAGCUUUCCAAAAAUGCGAAUCCACAGUAGGUCUGAUUUGUAUAUCAUUAAACGCCUUUCCUUUAAUAUUCCUAUCUUGGAUCCAUUUUACCAGAAUAGAAUCGCUCUUAUCCCAGUACUUUGAAGCUCUUUUAAUAUUGGUUGCAGUGGUGAUAAUAGGAAGGUCUCUAACCCCUAGACCCCCUUCCGACUUGGGAAGGAUCAUUUGGGCCCACGGGAUCCCUUUCCUUCCAUCCCAUAUAAAUCUAUAAGCCAACCUUCUCACCUUCUUAGCCACAGAAUCAGGGAUAGCCAUACCUUGCGCCCAAUAAGUAUACUUUCCGGCUAUAAUCCAGUUAACUAAUUGUAUUCUCCCUCCAUAGGAAAGACAUUUCCCACUCCAUCAUGCUAGGAGCGCCUCUAUAGACUGGAUUAGCUUCCAACACUGUCCAAAUGACUUUUUCUUUCCCGUGAUUGGUAACCCUAGAUAUGUUAUAGGUAGACUUUUAACAGUAUAUCCUAAGAUAUUAUGUAAAGAUUGAUUUUCUGCACAUACUUUUGAGAAGGUGGAGGAGCUUUUACUCGCAUUUACUUUCAAUCCCGAGAAUAAUGAGAAUUUCUCAAGCACCGUUUUAAUUGCAUUAAGCGAUUUCGGAUUUGCCUUUGAAAAUAUGAGGAUAUCAUCCGCAUACAUGAGGUGAG
rnacentral:lncRNA from 1 species